GGAUUACUAUUGAAAAUAGUGACAAUUUACAGGAUUUCAAUAAUUUUUUGUCGUCUAAUAUCAACAAUUAUUCUCUCAGAACUAUCGGAAGAUCAAAUUUAUUUCUUUAUCCUCAGAAUUCUUCCCAUUGUUAUUCAGCAUCUUUCAGCCACUCCGGAGUUGCUGACAUUCCCAGUAUUUGUCAGAGACGUAUGAGCCUUUGUGUAUUUCUCCAGAACCGCCGCUUGAUCCUCGACGGUCACGGUCACUCCUGUGAAAUAAAUUAAAUCCAAGGAAUGCUGAAAAUAUGUGGGACGGAGUUUCACAAUUUUUUAGGUUCAUUUCGGAUUGAAUUAAAGCUAGUGUAUCAAAGGUGGAUGUGUUAUAUCUUUAAAAAAUGAUUCUAUAGAAUGAAAGAGAGAUACUGGCUUCUAAAUACGAUCCUGGAGGACAAGAAUGUAAGAAGUGAUGAUAUAUGUCACACAGAUGAGGAAAAAGAAUUAGAUCCACGCGCCCUCAGGAAAUUGGAUUUUCUUCUCGCAUCACCGGACGUUUUCACUGGAGAAAUCGAGAUUUCCCAUCCAGAAUAUUAUACGAAGAGUGACUACUCCGGAAGUGCGAGGAGCCAGGACUUAAAAUGCCGAGUAGAUCCGGAUCGAUGUAGUCAGACACAGUCAUAUAAGUUCUCCAAGAGUUCGGUGAAGGGCAGAUUUUUGAUCCAUCCGCGAGGAGAAAUGUGAGACUCUUUAAAGGAAAAAUCGUUACGAUUGUUCUCAGGGAUUCCAGAAAUAAUUCAGAAUGGCGAAACAAAAGUAGCGGGAAAGUUAAUAGAUGGGAGUACGUAUGGAACUGUACAGAUAAAACUGAAUCAGGAGCUGGAAAAAUUGAGGAAAAUGCACAAUAUAUAAUGGAUGUGUAUGUAAUAUAUAUAUGAAUAUGGGGCCAAUGGGGAGACGAAUAUAAAGGUAACAAUCAAAAUAAUUAUUGGAUGUCGACUAAUUUUAUGAUAAAGGGAUCAAUAAUCAUUGGAUCAUCAAUAGAAAUUAAUUAUGUUCAUGU